GUGUUCUCGCAAUAUGGAGUUUCAUUUACUCUAAUAUCUAUGGUUCUCGUAACUGCUUCACACUCAGACUCAGAUGAGGACUCAGGCAAGACUCAAGGUAGCAGCACAAUCAACAAAAUCAUCAUUCACAAGAUCAUCAUCUUCAAUCUCCUCAUGCUCAUCUUCAGUACAAAUAGUCUAUAUGGCUGGGGUUGACUACUAAUAUAUUCAACUAAAAUUUGCAUAAAAAUUCACAAAGCUUUUGUUUCUUUGCAGCUGACAUUGUGAUGGCUUCACUUAAAGUUAACUUUUUAUAAUUUUAUUAAGCUAGCUAAUUAAUUAAGUUAAUUAUGUAAAGACUCCACCUUAAUAAAUUAUAAUAAUUGUGCUAAAAUGGCUGUUUUUCUUUUCUUUCUCCUGUCUCUGUUUGCCUGUGUCAAAAGUGACUGAGUGAGUAACUGCCAGUUGAGACAGCUACCCUAAACUUCUAUAAUCUUUGGUCAUAAGUGACUUAAGGCAGAAACUCAAUAUAGGCUAUAGCCUACCCUAGCCUUAUGCUAGCUACGCCCUUG